rnacentral:rRNA from 1 species
UACAGAGGUCUCAAGCGUUGUUCGGAUUUAUUGGGCGUAAAGGGUGCGUAGGUGGCAUGGUAAGUCGGAUGUGAAAUCCCGGGGCUCAACCCCGGAACUGCAUUCGAUACUGCUGCGCUAGAGUACUGGAGAGGAGAUUGGAAUUUACGGUGUAGCAGUGAAAUGCGUAGAUAUCGUAAGGAAGACCAGUGGCGAAGGCGGAUCUCUGGACAGUUACUGACACUGAGGCACGAAGGCCAGGGGAGCAAACAGG